rnacentral:lncRNA from 1 species
GUGAACAAAAAGAGUGUGGCAAGACCCUUAAAAAUAAUUUUUAAAUUAUCAAAAUUUUUUGAACUACAAAAUUUAUAUAUAUAAUGUAAUAGGCCAUUUUUGCCCAGGCCUGAAGAAGAACCAAAAUACAAAAUAAAAAUAAAAAUAAGUAAAAGUCCAAAUAUUAUUAACAGUCCAUUUACACAUUAAAAGGGCCCAAAUUAAAACCCAAAACUAAUCAGCCCAAUUACAAAUCCCUAACCCAAAACCCUGAUGGCCCGAUAGGCCCAAUGGCUAAACCAAAUUUCAGCCAAGCCUAACCCUAGUAGCCCUAUGCCCCGCUGCCCAUGUGCACCGUACCAGCAGCCUCCGCACCAUCCGCCUCACCCACGUGCCGUCUAACACCUUUCAACCACCCUCUGGCCCUAUCCUAUCACCUGCACCUUCAGAGGCCUGCAAACAGUGAGAAAAAGAGGACAAAAAAAUGAAAAGAUAGCAGCAAGAAACGCAAACAGUAGCAGAGACCAAUGCAAACAAAAUUUUUAAUAUUGUAAUCGGCUAUAAAGCCGAAAAGAAAUCAUUUGUAAAAAGGGGGAAUUUUUCAAUAUUCAAAGACACAAAAUCAAUACAGAAAAAUGGAAUAUUGAGAGCAAUCUAAUACAAAAAAAAAUCGAAAGGUGGUUUCUUUUGUUUCUUUUCCUCUCCUCUCCGCCACUAUUAUUCUUAGAUAGAUAUAAAAAAUAUAUCAACUCUUACCUCUUUUUGGGCAAUCAGAGAGUUUGAAACCGAGAGUUUUCCUUUAUUUCUUUCGGCUUUCGUGAGGUUUUUGAGUAUUUUAAUCACGGAUCUGGGUCAAGGAAGAAAAAAUGGUUGAAAGGGGGUUGGUUUUGUACCUCCGGCCGCCGCGUAUGGUGGUCGCCUGCGACGGAUGCACGGUGGUCCGAUCGCCAGAAAUCGUGAACCCAGAGAGAAAAGGGAAGAAGGGAUUUUUUUUUAGAAAAUGGCUACCCAAAUGAUUUUUUUGUCAAAAUUUUAACUCUUAUAGCUUAGCUCAUACGACGUCGUUUUGGCCUAAGCUCAUAGGCCUUAAAACGGCGUCGUUUUGAAGCUUAGACCCGAAAAUCGACCCGCUUCAGGCUAAGACCCACGUGUUUCCGCUCUAAUGGGUUAUUUACAGAUCCGGUCCCUCCGCUUUUGUGGUCUGUUGCAAUUUGGCCUUGUUUCUUUUUUCUUUUCUUUUGAUUUUUGCCCUGUAAUUUUUGCAGUAUUCAGAUUCGGUCCAUAUUGAAGUUAUGCGUUUUGGGGAACGGGGAUAUUGCCCCAUUUGGUCCCCCAUCUCAUUCGCGUAUCAUAAUUUGGGCCAAAUAUUUUAUUUUCAUUCCAUUUUGUUCCUCUUAAUUCUGUUUUGAUUUCAAUUUAAUAUUGGCUUAAUUGAUUUCAUCAUUUGCAUAUUUUUAUUUAUUUGUUUCUUUUUUAAUACUAAAACUUAAAUAAUAUUUAUAUGUAAUAUCUAUCUCAUUUUUUUUUGUUUCAUGACUAGACUCUGCUUAUCGAUUUAUUUAUUAUUUUAUAAUUCUUUACUAAAAAUAUUUAGUAUUACCUAUGCCAUGUAUCUACCUAUUUAUUUCAUUUAUUUAUUAUCCUUAUUAUUGAAGAUUACGGAUUAAUCCAUUUCCCUUUAUAUGCAUUUCGUAUUUCCUUUUACUUACUCUUACUAUUUUAUUGUUAUUUUAUCAUUAUUUAUUCAUUUAUUUAUUUGUCUCCUUUUAUAUAUUAUUUUAAAAUCGGAUUAUUUAUGUUCUACUACUAUUAUUAUUAUCAUUAUUAUUAUUAUUCAUAUAUCUAUUUUUAUAUAUGUAUGUACAUUUUAAAAUUUAAAUUAUCUGUGUUUCUUUGCUAUAUAUAUUAUUCUU